ensembl:misc_RNA Metazoa_SRP Metazoan signal recognition particle RNA
GCCAGGCGCGGUGGCACGUGCCUGUAGUCCCAGCUACUCGGGAGGCUGAGGCGGGAGGAUCGCUUGAGCCCAGGAGUUCUGGGCUGUAGUGCGCUAUGCCGAUCGGGUGUCCACACUAAGUUCGGCAUCAAUAUGGUGACCUCCCGGGAGCGGAGGACCACCGGAUUGCCUAAGGAGGGGUGAACCGGCCCAGGUCGGAAAAAGAGCAGGUCAAAACUCCCAUGCUGAUCAGUAGUGGGAUUGCGCCUGUGAAUAGCCACAGCACUCCAGCCUGGGCAACAUAGCAGGCUCUCUCUU